CCAAAUAACAACUACUUUAUUAAUAAUUUAAAACAUAAUUAAUGAAAAUUAUAUCUCUUCAUGUAAUAAUUUGACGUCAAAUUUUGCAAAGAAAGUAUUUGAUAAUAUGAGUUAUAACAAUAAAAUAUAAUAGUACGACGUUACAACGCGAAAAUCAGAAACUGAUAUUUUUGCCCGAAGUAUGUCGAUUUGACGGUAUUGUAUAACAGAAAUUCUUAAAAAAUUGAAAAUUUAUAAACUCAAAAAUAUUUAAAUAAAUUUUAAAGUGAUUCUCUGCUAUUAUUAUUAUUAUAAUUAUGAAAUUUGUAUGUAAAAUAUGAUUUACUCUAACAUGAAAUAUUUACAAUCAAAAUAAAUACAUGGUAUUUUCAACAUAUAUUAAAAGAUAACAUUAUUUGUGAAGCAUUUAAUUUUUUAUCAUUUUGUUAGCAUUUGAAAUACUGUAAAACCCUAGAAGUUUAAUAUGUAAUAACUAUUUUCAUAAUGAUAUUAAUGUAUAUCUAGCCUUCGUAACUGUAUUAAUUUGUUCAACCUCUCUAUAACCAAGAAAUGUUCAAAGGACAAAUACUAAUAUUUAAGUUUUUUCUAUUUGAGAAAUGGCUGGAAAACCAACUUUUGUGUAUACAGACAAUAGAAAUAAGACUAAAUAACUGAUAAAAAUACAUGGCAUAUCUGUUGCUAUUCUAUGACAUUCAUAAACAGUCAACAAUAUUUAAAAUAUUUAAACUAACAAAAGCCAUAAUUCAUUUUAAAAUAGUUACU